UACGUAGGGUGCGAGCGUUGUCCGGAAUUACUGGGCGUAAAGAGCUUGUAGGUGGUUUGUCGCGUUGUUCGUGAAAACUCGAGGCUCAACCUCGAGACGUCGGCGGAAACCAUCUGGCUAGAGUCCGGAAGAGGAGAGUGGAAUUCCUGGUGUAGCGGUGAAAUGCGCAGAUAUCAGGAAGAACACCCGUGGCGAAGGCGGCUCUCUGGGACGGUACUGACGCUGAGACGCGAAAGCGUGGGGAGCGAACAGG
rnacentral:rRNA from 1 species